rnacentral:tRNA from 1 species
UGUAAUUCGGUGUAAGGUCACAUAAAAUUUUGAUUUUUAAGGAUAUAAGUUGUUAUAAAUUGCAA